rnacentral:rRNA from 1 species
UCCAAGGAAGGCAGCAGGCGCGCAAAUUACCCAAUCCCGACACGGGGAGGUAGUGACAAUAAAUAACGAUACAGGGCCCUUUCGGGUCUUGUAAUUGGAAUGAGUACAAUUUAAAUACCUUAACGAGGAACAAUUGGAGGGCAAGUCUGGUGCCAGCAGCCGCGGUAAUUCCAGCUCCAAGAGCGUAUGUAAAAGUUGUUGCAGUUAAAAAGCUCGUAGUUGAACUUUGGGUUUGGUUGGCCGGUCCGCUUUUUUGCGUGUACUGGACCCAACCGAGCCUUUCCUCCUGGCUAACUAGUUGCCCUUGUGGUGGCUAGCGAACCAGGACUUUUACUUUGAGAAAAUUAGAGUGUUCAAAGCAGGCAUUAGCUUGAAUAUAUUAGCAUGGAAUAAUAGAAUAGGACGUUAUGGUUCUAUUUUGUUGGUUUCUAGGACCAUCGUAAUGAUUAAUAGGGACGGUCGGGGGCAUCAGUAUUCAGUUGUCAGAGGUGAAAUUCUUGGAUUUACUGAAGACUAACUACUGCGAAAGCAUUUGCCAAGGACGUUUUCAUUAAUCAAGAACGAAAGUUAGGGGAUCGAAGAUGAUCAGAUACCGUCGUAGUCUUAACCAUAAACUAUGCCGACUAGGGAUCGGGUGUCGUCCUUUUUUUGGCGCACUCGGCACCUUACGAGAAAUCAAAGUUUUUGGGUUCUGGGGGGAGUAUGGUCGCAAGGCUGAAACUUAAAGGAAUUGACGGAAGGGCACCACCAGGAGUGGAGCCUGCGGCUUAA